rnacentral:tRNA from 2 species
GGGCCCUUAGCUCAGCUGGUAGAGCAGGUGACUCUUAAUCACAAGGUCGUCGGUUCGAUCCCGUCAGGGCCCACCA